UCAUCUCGGGGUCGCCUUUGUGACCUAGUUGGUUGAGAUGAUCUGACUGGCAUAGUAUCUAUCUCUUGGCUAUCCAUAUUAGAAGACCAAACUAUGGCUACUGAAAAAAUUCUACUUUAUCUUGGAGAUAAUAACUACAUCAACUACGAAUUUUGGUGGUACUCUCUCCUUUUCUUAUAUUCUUGGGUGAACAAGCUUCAGAAGGAAGCUAUCAUCAAACCGGCUUAGGUUUAUGAGGAGGUUGUUGAUGAAACUCUUAUAUCUUUUGUGGCCCAUUGGCAAGAUUUUUAGCUGGCUCCCACGUUUG
rnacentral:lncRNA from 1 species